rnacentral:misc_RNA from 1 species
CUGGAGCCAUUGCUUGUGAGCCAUAAUGACCUUCUACAGUGUAAUUUUCAGAUGAAGUGGCAGCAGUAUAAACUGGACCUUUCUGUUUGCCAUUCUCCUGAAUAGAAAGCCAAAUAGCCUCCAUAACCAUAAUGUCUUCAAGAUCUAGAUCAAAUUCAUCAUCCCUGUUUGGUCUAUAAUGUGGAGAGUGUCUGAUUGAGUAUUGAGAAGGAACAAUUUCCUCAGUUUCCACAGGAGACCUAAAUGAUUGAACAGCUGCAGAGCCAUAUUCAACCUCCCCUGGUACAACACUAGUACUUGAAGAACUUAAUUCUAGUCUUUUAUGCAUUCUCUCUUCUUCAUCUUGAAGUUCUUGCUGCCGCAUCCUAAUUUUUGCUUCUAU